AACGAACGCUGGCGGCAGGCUUAACACAUGCAAGUCGAACGCCCGUAGCAAUACGGGAGUGGCGGACGGGUGAGUAACGCGUGGGAACGUGCCCUGAGGUACGGAAUAACUGCGGGAAACUGCAGCUAAUACCGUAUGAGCCCCUUACGGGGGAAAGAUUUACCGCCUUAGGAGCGGCCCGCGUCGGAUUAGCUAGUUGGUGGGGUAACGGCUUACCAAGGCUUCGAUCCGUAGCUGGUCUGAGAGGACGAUCAGCCACACUGGGACUGAGACACGGCCCAGACUCCUACGGGAGGCAGCAGUGGGGAAUCUUGCGCAAUGGGGGCAACCCUGACGCAGCCAUGCCGCGUGAAUGAUGAAGGCCUUAGGGUUGUAAAGUUCUUUUGCCCGCGACGAUGAUAACGGUAACGGGAGAAUAAGCUCCGGCUAACUUCGUGCCAGCCGCCGCUGUAAGAC
rnacentral:rRNA from 1 species